rnacentral:rRNA from 1 species
UGGGGAAUAUUGCACAAUGGGCGCAAGCCUGAUGCAGCCAUGCCGCGUGUGUGAAGAAGGCCUUCGGGUUGUAAAGCACUUUCAGCGAGGAGGAAGGUGGUGAAGCUUAAUACGCUCAUCAAUUGACGUUACUCGCAGAAGAAGCACCGGCUAACUCCGUGCCAGCAGCCGCGGUAAUACGGAGGGUGCAAGCGUUAAUCGGAAUUACUGGGCGUAAAGCGCACGCAGGCGGUUUGUUAAGUCAGAUGUGAAAUCCCCGGGCUCAACCUGGGAACUGCAUUUGAAACUGGCAAGCUAGAGUCUCGUAGAGGGGGGUAGAAUUCCAGGUGUAGCGGUGAAAUGCGUAGAGAUCUGGAGGAAUACCGGUGGCGAAGGCGGCCCCCUGGACGAAGACUGACGCUCAGGUGCGAAAAGGCGUGGGGGAGCAAAACAGGAUUAGAUACCCUGGUAGUCCACGCUGUAAAACGAUGUCGAUUUUGGAGGUUGUGCCCCUUGAGGCGUGGCUUCCGGAGCUAACGCGUUAAAUCGACCGCC